rnacentral:rRNA from 1 species
UCAAGCUAAGAAGGGCAGACGGUGGAUGCCUAGGUGCCGAGAGGCGAGGAAGGACGCGGUUAGCUGCGAAAAGCUUCGGGGAGCCGCUAAACAGGCUUUGAUCCGGAGGUGUCCGAAUGGGGGAACCCGGCCGGCGUAAUAGCCGGUCAUCCCUUUCGAGGGAGGCGAACCCGGGGAACUGAAACAUCUCAGUACCCGGAGGAGAAGAAAUCAAGAGAGAUUCCGUCAGUAGCGGCGAGCGAAGGCGGAGGAGCCCAAACCCGGGUCUCUUUGGAGGCUUGGGGGUUGGAGGGCCCCGAGGUGGGACCUGGAAGGGUAGCAGAAAGGACUGGAAAGUUCUUCCGUAGAGGGUGAUAGGCCCGUAUGCGAAACCCGGAAGGGCCCUAGGGGUACCCUGAGUACCGCGAGGCACGUGGAACCUCGUGGGAAGCUGGGAGGACCAUCUUCCAAGGCUAAAUACUCCUCGGCGACCGAUAGUGAACAAGUACCGUGAGGGAAAGGUGAAAAGUCCCCCGAGAGGGGAGUGAAAUAGUACCUGAAACCGUUUGCCUACAAGCAGUGGGAGGACGGUGAUUCUGCUUUCGGGCGGGAUCUGUCUGACCGCGUGCCUUUUGCAUAAUGAGUCAGCGAGUUGUUUUCUGCAGCGAGGUUAAGCCGGGCGAGGCGGAGCCGUAGCGAAAGCGAGUCCGAACAGGGCGGAUGAGUUGCAGGGAGCAGACCCGAAACCAGGUGAUCUAUCCAUGGCCAGGGUGAAGUCUCGGUAACACGAGAUGGAGGCCCGAACCGAAGAAGGUUGAAAACUUCUCGGAUGAGCUGUGGAUAGGAGUGAAAGGCUAAUCAAACCUGGAGAUAGCUGGUACUCCCCGAAAUGCAUUGAGGUGCAGCCUUGAGGGAAGAAUGAGGGAGGUAGAGCACUGGAUGGGCUAGGGGUCUUACCGGAUUACCAAACCCAACCAAACUCCGAAUGCCGUCAUAUCGUCCUCAGGAGUGAGACUACGGGAGAUAAGUUUCGUGGUCGAGAGGGAAAGAGCCCAGACCGUCGGCUAAGGUCCCCAAAUAGAGGCUAAGUGGGAAAGGAUGUGGGAACGCACAGACAACCAGGAGGUUGGCUUAGAAGCAGCCAUCCUUUAAAGAAAGCGUAACAGCUCACUGGUUCAGUGGUCUUGCGCCGAAAAUGUAACGGGUCUAAGCCUCAUACCGAAGCCGCGGCUUUUCCGUUUUAGGACGGGAAGGGGUAGGGGAGCAUUGCACGGACCUGCGAAGGCGUACCGAGAGGAGCGCUGGAGGGGGUGCAAGGGAUUAUGCUGACAUGAGUAACGAGAAAGCGGGUGAGAAUCCCGUUCGCCGUAAGCCUAAGGUUUCCUGGGUAAAGGUCAUCUGCCCAGGGUUAGUCGGUCCCUAAGGUGAGGCCGAAGGGCGUAGCUGAUGGGAAACAGGUUAAUAUUCCUGUACCACCGGGAAAGCGUUUGACCGAAGGGGGGACGCAGAAGGGUAGGCCGGCCGGGUGAUGGAAGUCCCGGUAUAAGCCCGUAGGCGGGGAAGAUAGGCAAAUCCGUCUUCCCGUCAACGCCGAGAGGUGAUGUGGAGGGAGCAAUCCCGCAAACCGGUUGAUCCCAGGCUGCCAAGAAAAGCCUCUAGGGAGUUUUCCAGGUGACCGUACCGCAAACCGACACAGGUAGGCGAGGAGAGAAUCCUAAGGCGCGUGAGAGAACGCUGGUUAAGGAACUCGGCAAAAUGACACCGUAACUUCGGGAGAAGGUGUGCCCCUGGUAGGUGAAGGAACUUGCUUCCGGAGCCGAGGGGGGUUGCAGAGAAGAGGCGGUAGCGACUGUUUACUAAAAACACAGGACUCUGCCAAGUCGCAAGACGACGUAUAGGGUCUGACGCCUGCCCGGUGCUGGAAGGUUAAGGGGUGGAGUCAUUCGCGAGAAGAAGCUCUAAACCGAAGCCCCAGUAAACGGCGGCCGUAACUAUAACGGUCCUAAGGUAGCGAAAUUCCUUGUCGGGUAAGUUCCGA